rnacentral:lncRNA from 1 species
UUGGUUUUUGCUCUUUUUUUUUGGUACUAGGGAUCAAACUUGGGCCCUUGUGCUUGAGGCAGGUGGCGGCACCACUGAGCUAAAUCCCCAGUCCAUUAAUUGAUUCAUUUCUGAGACAACUGAACUGUCUUCACCAUGCCUAUGUUGGGCUCUGUCUGUGUGUGUGUGUGUAUGUGUGUGUGUCUUCCAUUCAGUAUGUUCUGUUCUUCUAUCCUUCAUACUCUCCCAGGUUCCUCUUAUUUUCCUACAUCUGUGUCUACAUAUGGUACCAGACUAGUUGCUCCCUCUGAAAUAGAACAUAUCUCAAAAAACAACUCAGAAUCAAGGACUCUGGCCUCCCCUGCCAGCUCAACAGUGAACCCUAGAAUCCUCUGGACCUCAGUCCCGGGCCAGGUACCUCUUCUGGGCCAUUCAUCUGUCAUUGCUACCAAAGCCAAGGUCCACUUCACAAAAGGCCUUACCUGGAGUAGGACAUUCCUGACCCCUUGAUCCAGUUGCCUCGGGGAGAGCAGACAAUUUGGGGGCUGCAGAAGAUACCACCGAGGGAUGGAAAAUGCACCACCAGGAGCCAGGAAGUCCCAAGGAGACAAGGCCCAGGCACGCACAGAGUGACUGAGAUGGGGGGGGCUCUUUGGGUUAUGGGAACAAGGGGCCAUGGCGGGAGGAUUAGGACUUUUUAUAAUUCAGACCUUGAGGGAGGAAGCCUAGCCUAGUCCAGGACUAGCCUGCUGUGAAGGGCACCCUCUGCCUCUUAUAAUGGGCAUCUCUAUGCUGCUAAAGUCUGUGAUCACAAUAGCUCCCCCGAGAAAAUGGAGACCAGCCUCAAACAAUCCUUGCACCUAGACAUUCCUAGUAGCAUUUUUCACAAUAGACAAAAGGUAGGAGCAAGCCAAAUGUCCACCAAUUGCUGGAUGGAUAAACAAACCAGUACAGCUAGAUGGAAAAACAUUGCUCACCCAAGAAAAGAAAUGAAGUACUGACAUGUGUUACAGUGUAGAUGAGCCUUAAAAUCAUGGUUAUCCAAUUUUUCAGUGAGAGAGAUACAAAGGGCCACAUGUUAUUCCACUUAUAUGAGAUAGCCAGAGUAGGUACCUCCACAGAAAGAGAAAAAAGAUUGGUGGUCGUCAGCGUAGUAAUUGUAAAUGGGUAUGAGACUGGUG